rnacentral:lncRNA from 1 species
CUUGUGAGCAGUAACCCUCUAUCAAGAAAAUCAUGAUAGGAAAUGCAAGCACGGGAAUAUCGUAUCAAUUAGGAGAUAUAUACCCCGUAUGCAGGUGCUGCUGGAAUGUUGCUACUUAGAAAUGGAAAGUUCGCAAUUGGAAAGCUGAAAUCAUCUUUUUUGUCGUAAAGUUUUGUUUUCAACCGACCCUCAUUGUCAAUUUCUAGAUGUAAGUCAAGAUAUGAAGCCGACUUAACUGUAUCUGUAGUAUCCUUUAUCUCCAAUUCGAUGGAAUAGAUGCAUUCCACAUAGUCACCAAAUUUUGAAUUGUUUAGUGAAAGAACGUCAUCUAUAUAGCGGAAAGUAGAGUUAAAGGAUAUUGCUAACUUCUUAUCUUUCUUCCUAAGAAGUUCCUGCAUGAAGUCCGCCUCAUAAUAAUAAA